UACGUAGGGGGCAAGCGUUGUCCGGAAUCAUUGGGCGUAAAGCGCGUGUAGGCGGCCCGGUAAGUCCGCUGUGAAAGUCCAGGGCUCAACCCUGGAAUGCCGGUGGAUACUGUCGGGCUCGAGUCCGGAAGAGGCGAGUGGAAUUCCUGGUGUAGCGGUGAAAUGCGCAGAUAUCUGGAGGAACACCGGUGGCGAAGGCGGGUCUG
rnacentral:rRNA from 1 species